AGAGCCGCCAGCAACUGACUAGUGCGAAACCGCGAACACAACAGGCGAGAUCGUCACUGCUGGGUAUGGACAAGCAGCCACCGCCACCUCCACAAAAGCCGCUACCGCCACCAAAAGCGCCGGCGCAGCAACCGCCGCAACAGGAUGAAAAUGACCUUGAAAUUAAUGAAGAAAAAGCGACGGUGACUUUCAGAAUGGGUCGACCGGCAAAAGAAAAGCCGCUCAACUUUGAAGAAACAAAUAUGUGAACAGUUAAAUAUUUAUCCUGAGUAUAUGUUAUUCGUGUGGUGAACAAUUACAAUUAAAUAUUUUUCAUGAGCAUAUGCCAUUUGUGUGUAAUUAUGCCGAGACCAUGAUCUUGGUUUCUUGGGUUAGAUUGGUCCUGCUCUCCACUCAGAGAGAGAGAGAGAGAUAAAGAGAGAGAGAGAGAGGGGGCUUCUUCAACAUCACCACCACCAACAUCAUCACCAACAAUUGUGGGCUCACUCUCCAUCAAUAUGAGUGAGUAGUUCUCUGUAGGCCUAAGAGGUGGAUGGGUUUUGAUGAGAUUGAUCAUGUAAUCAUUUUUAUGUAUCGAG